GAUGAAGAACGUAGCGAAAUGCGAUACGUAAUGUGAAUUGCAGAAUUCAGUGAAUCAUCGAGUCUUUGAACGCACAUUGCGCCCCCUGGUAUUCCGGGGGGCAUGCCUGUCCGAGCGUCAUUGCUGCCCUCAAGCACGGCUUGUGUGUUGGGCCCCCGCCCCCCGGUUCCCGGGGGGCGGGCCCGAAAGGCAGCGGCGGCACCGCGUCCGGUCCUCGAGCGUAUGGGGCUUCGUCACCCGCUCCGUAGGCCCGGCCGGCGCCCGCCGACGACCCCCCCUCAAUCUUUCCAGGUUGACCUCGGAUCAGGUAGGGAUACCCGCUGAACUUAAGCAUAUCAAUAAGCGGAGGA
rnacentral:misc_RNA from 1 species